CCCUAUUAUAAUUAAUAUAAAAUUAAUUUUGAGUAGUAAAUGUUUUGGACAGGAAACUUAAAGAAUUUGGCGGUGUAUAUUCUAAUUAGAGGAAUAUGUUUUUUAAUUGAUAAUCCACAAGUAUUUUACUUAAAAUUAUUUAUUUUGUAUAUCUCCGUCUUAAAAAAGCUUUUUAAAAUAUUUUUUAUUUUUUAUAAUUUAAAAAAAGUCAGGUCAAGGUGCAGAUUAUAUUUAAGUUAAAAUGUAUUACAAUAAAAUUAUUUUUGGAUUAAAAUUUAAGUAAUUUUAGGAAAUUGGAUUUAUGAGUAAAUUUUUUUAUAUAAUAAUUNAUUGAAUUGUGUUAAUAUACAUGCACACAUCGCCC
rnacentral:rRNA from 1 species